AGAGAGAGACAUGCGCGCAUAUCAAUAAGCGGAGGAAAAGAAACUAACAAGGAUUCCCUUAGUAACGGCGAGUGGAGCGGGAAGAGCUCAAAUUUGAAAUCUUCAAGGUUUUACCUUGACGAAUUGUAGUUUAAAGAAGUGUUUUCUGCUGAAGUUUUGGUAAAAGUUCUUUGGAAUAGGACAUCAUAGAGGGUGAGAAUCCCGUAUUUGACCAUUAUUUUCAGCUUUGUGAUACACUUUCAAAGAGUCGGAUUGUUUGGGAAUGCAGUCCAAAAUGGGUGGUAAAUUUCAUCUAAAGCUAAAUAUUGGCGAGUAGACCGAUAGCGAACAAGUACCGUGAGGGAAAGAUGAAAAGAACUUUGAAAAGAGAGUUAAACAGUACGUGAAAUUGUCAAAAGGGAAGCGUUUGACACCAGUGUUGUUUUCUCGAAAAUCAAUUAAAAAUGGCUCGAUUUUGUAUUGCUUGAGACCUUAAAAGCUCACUGUACAUUUUUCGUGUCUUUUUUAAUGCACUUUUCGUUUAACAAGUCAACAUCAGUUUCUUUUGUUGUAAAAGGGUCAUUGGAAGGUGGCUUUCUUUUCGGAGAAAGUGUUUAUAGCCUUUGGCCUCUGCAAUCGGAGAGACUGAGGUCUGCAGCGUAGACUCUUCGGGGUUAGAUACAUUUGUGCUAAGUUAUAGCUUUUUAUAGACAACUUGUUGACUAUAAUUAGUCUUGUAGCUUACUCGCUUAUGCUAUUUUACCUACGCUUAGGAUGUUGAAGAUGUAGCACAUCAU
rnacentral:rRNA from 1 species